rfam:Opisthocomus hoazin contig88119, whole genome shotgun sequence.
CUAGGAGAACCGAAAACCGUUCUAGACUGACCUGCGGUUUUAUAGCACUUUGGCAGUCAACUUCAGCUUGUGUCAGAGCAGACACGACAGAGCUGCUGCCCAACGCUCAAUCGCGGGACGCCACCUCCUCAGACUCACUGCAGCCCCCCCCCGCCCUUGCAUUUUCAAUAAAUUUCAAACCUUGGGGCUAGAAAUGGGGAGCAGAGCUG